UACGUAGGGGGCAAGCGUUGUCCGGAAUCAUUGGGCGUAAAGAGCGUGUAGGCGGUCCGGUAAGUCGGCUGUGAAAGUCCAGGGCUCAACCCUGGGAUGCCGGUCGAUACUGCCGGACUAGAGUUCGGAAGAGGCGAGUGGAAUUCCCGGUGUAGCGGUGAAAUGCGCAGAUAUCGGGAGGAACACCUAUGGCGAAGGCAGCUCGCUGGGACGUUACUGACGCUGAGACGCGAAAGUGUGGGGAGCAAACAGG
rnacentral:rRNA from 1 species